rnacentral:lncRNA from 1 species
GUUCACAACCCAAUACCAAAUAAGGUGAAAGAAGAAAAAAUAAAUAGAGAGCAAGAGGUAUGCUGGAUUUUUUGUUACUGAUUGAUGAAGAAUUGUUUGAGUGUGGGGUUUUAAAAUUGAUUCAUGUUGUAUUUAUUAGAUAAAUAUAAUAUUUUAGUCUCUCUAAAUUUAUUUAAAGCAUGCAUGAUUUAUAUAGAGUGUGUUAAGAAAAAUGUUAGUUAAUUUAAAAAAAAAAAAAAAAAAAAGGAGAAAGAAGAACUUGUUAGUGUGUUAAGAUUGUACCCAAAAACAAAAUGUGCGUGUGUUAAGAAUGAGUAAAAGGUUUUGCAGUAUUUUUUAUAAAUAAGGAGGAUGAUAGAGAGAAUUCAAAGAGAGUUCCUUUAUGGAGGAGUCAUGGGAGGAAGAAAAGUGUGUUGGGUGAAGUGGAAGAUGGUUUGUCAACCAAAAGAAAAUGGAUGUUUAGGGGUGAGGGAUAUCUGAAUGGUGAAUGCGAGUCUGCGAGUCUUUUAGUUAAAUGGAGGUGGAGAUUGCUUACUUGUGAGAACGCUGUUUGGAAGUGGGUGCUUAUGGCGAAAUACGGUAACAUUAUUAGCGGUGUGCCUGAUAUAGGAGGGGAGAUUUGGCCUAGAGUGGUGUCAAGAUGGUGAAAGGAUGUGGUGCAAAUUCAAGAGUGGAUGUUCAAUCUAGUUCAUGUCGGAGUUGGUUGGAAGAUUUGGGGAUGGGAGGUUCACAAGAUUUUGGAAAGAUUGUUGGGUGGGGGAAAUGCCUCUUUGUGAUCAAUUUCUACAGCUGUUUUUGGUGUCAAACCAAAAAGAAGCCAAGGCAAAGGAUAUGUGGUAUGAGGAGGAAGGGGGUGGGUGCUAAACUCUGAGUGGCUUCGGGAGUUGUUUGUUUGGGAAGGAGAGGGGCUGAAUUCAUUUAUAGCAGUUUUGAACGAGUAUCAGUGGGCUCUUCGCGACGAUAGAUGGGAAUAGAGUGCAGAGGAGGAGGGCCAUUUUACAGUUAAGUACGCUUCUAAGUAACUUGAAAGAAGGUUUGUUCUAGAAAGGAAUUUGAGUGUUCUAGAGAAGGGUGUGUUUGAAUCGAUUUGGAAAAGCUUUUCCCCUUUGAAAGUGGUGGCUUUUUCUUGGAAGUUGCUUCUCGACCGGAUUCCGACAAGAAGUAAUCUAGCAAAGCGUAAUAUUAUUCCAACAGAUAAUCCUACGGUUUGUGUGUUUUGCGACGGAGCUGAGGAGACCAUAACUCAUCUAUUUCUGCAUUGUCAUGUGGUGAGGUCUGUUUGGGUAAUUAUUAUGAGGUAGCUUGGUUUUGAGUUAGUUACACCGUAGAAUACAUUAUAGCAUUGGGUUAUUUGGAAUUAAGAGGCACGGAACAAGAAGGUUAGGAAUGGGUGGCGUUUAAUUUGGCAUGCGACGGUAUGGGUGAUUUGGAAAUCGAGAAACAAAGUAAUUAUUAAUAAUGAUGCCAAAGGGGUGAUUGAGAUGGUGGAGGAGAUUAAGGUGAUGUCGUGGAUAUGGUGUUUACAUAGAGUCAAGAUUCCCUCAUGUUUAUUUUAUGACUGGUGUUGGAAUCCAAAGGAUUGCUUGCUAAGAUAACUAGUAGAGUUUGGGUCGGGAUUGUGUUUGGCCUCUGAUUUGCUGGGUUGUUUUCCCUUUUUUGAGACAGCAGCUGUUUUGUUUUUUCAGGAACCUCACUGUUGGUGUUUCCCAGUUUUUUUUUUUUUUUUUGCUGCUGUUGCUCCGUUUUUCUUACUGCUGUGCUGCUGGUUUUUUGGGUAGGCAGCUUGGAUUAGUUGGUGGGUCUGUGUAUUGACAGGGGCUUAUUCAUUUGGUGAUUGUCUUGAGGUUAGCUGCAUAUAUCCAGGGCCUUUUGUAUGUGUUUUUCCCUUGCAUUGUGCGUCUUGCUCAAGCAAUAGCAAUAUCAUCACGUUAUUGGAUGUAAAUCACAAUUGACAUGAACUAGUGAUAAUGUUAUUGGA